rnacentral:rRNA from 1 species
ACUCAAUCAUGUGCAGAGGGGAAUACCAGGUUAUGCGUCUCCGUUAGAGACUACUACUGUUACAUGUUGCAAACAUGGCCUGCGAUCUUCAAUCCCAUACUCUGUGGAGCACGCCUGCUGCAGCAAUGGGCGGUCGACAUGUACAUCAAGAUUGAGAGUUGUUAGUUGAGGUGCUACAGGAAGAACCAGACGCAGAUUCGUGCCGACUUGUAUAAAGGAGUUGUUGAUGCGAUCACAUCGGGGGAGACGAGAGCAAGCGCUGUUGGCACCCGAAUAGUU